rnacentral:rRNA from 1 species
AACGUAGGUACCGAGCGUUAUCCGGAUUUACUGGGCGUAAAGCGUGUUCAGGCGGUCUAGCAAGUCGGGCAUGAAAUCUCUCGGCUCAACCGGGAGGGGUUGUCCGAUACUGUUGGGCUUGAGGGCAGCAGAGGGUGGUGGAAUUCCGGGUGUAGUGGUGAAAUGCGUAGAUAUCCGGAGGAACACCAGUGGCGAAGGCGGCCACCUGGGCUGUACCUGACGCUCAAACACGAAA